rnacentral:rRNA from 1 species
GCAUAUCAAUAAGCGGAGGAAAAGAAACCAACCGGGAUUGCCUUAGUAACGGCGAGUGAAGCGGCAAAAGCUCAAAUUUGAAAUCUGGUACCUUCGGUGCCCGAGUUGUAAUUUGGAGAGGGCAACUUUGGGGCCGUUCCUUGUCUAUGUUCCUUGGAACAGGACGUCAUAGAGGGUGAGAAUCCCGUGUGGCGAGGAGUGCGGUUCUUUGUAAAGUGCCUUCGAAGAGUCGAGUUGUUUGGGAAUGCAGCUCUAAGUGGGUGGUAAAUUCCAUCUAGAGCUAAAUAUUGGCGAGAGACCGAUAGCGAACAAGUACAGUGAUGGAAAGAUGAAAAGAACUUUGAAAAGAGAGUGAAAAAGUACGUGAAAUUGUUGAAAGGGAAGGGCAUUUGAUCAGACAUGGUGUUUUGUGCCCUCUGCUCCUUGUGGGUAGGGGAAUCUCGCAUUUCACUGGGCCAGCAUCAGUUUUGGUGGCAGGAUAAAUCCAUAGGAAUGUAGCUUGCCUCGGUAAGUAUUAUAGCCUGUGGGAAUACUGCCAGCUGGGACUGAGGACUGCGACGUAAGUCAAGGAUGCUGGCAUAAUGGUUAUAUGCCGCCCGUCUUGAAACACGGACC